GAGAAUGAUUCUUCGGAUGAAGUCUCUUGUGACUGAGUGGCGGACGGGUGAGUAACGCGUGGGUAACCUGCCUCACACAGGGGGAUAACAGUUGGAAACGACCGCUAAUACCGCAUAACCCGCUGGUGCCGCAUGGCACUGACGGAAAAGAUUUAUCGGUGUGAGAUGGACCCGCGUCUGAUUAGCCAGUUGGCAGGGUAACGGCCUACCAAAGCGACGAUCAGUAGCCGGCCUGAGAGGGUGAACGGCCACAUUGGGACUGAGACACGGCCCAGACUCCUGCGGGAGGCAGCAGUGGGGAAUAUUGCACAAUGGGGGAAACCCUGAUGCAGCGACGCCGCGUGAGUGAAGAAGUAUUUCGGUAUGUAAAGCUCUAUCAGCAGGGAAGAAAAUGACGGUACCUGAUUAAGAAGCCCCGGCUAACUACGUGCCAGCAGCCGCGGUAAUACGUAGGGGGCAAGCGUUAUCCGGAUUUACUGGGUGUAAAGGGAGCGUAGACGGUGAUGCAAGUCAGAAGUGAAAGCCCGGGGCUCAACUCCGGGACUGCUUUUGAAACUGUGUGACUGGAGUGCAGGAGAGGUAAGCGGAAUUCCUGGUGUAGCGGUGAAAUGCGUAGAUAUCAGGAGGAACACCAGUGGCGAAGGCGGCUUACUGGACUGUAACUGACGUUGAGGCUCGAAAGCGUGGG
rnacentral:rRNA from 1 species